AGGCCUUGACUCAUAAAUAAAAGGAAGCAUUCCAUUAGCUAACUCGGAUUAUAUACACUCAAAAAUGGGGCACACAAUCAGUUUCACUAUCGUUGCUCUUUUGGGUAAGUUGUUCCAAAAAAAUCUAUGUCGUAUUAUGAAUAUAUUUUUUAACAUAUACUUUAGGCCUACUUGCCAUCGUUUAGCUCCCCAAAAUGUAGCCUAGCCGUGUGAUGUAACAAACUGUGAUCUCCCCGAUUGUCGGUGUUCCAACACAAGUCCACCUUUAGAGGGAGAGAAAAUUCCGCAAGUGAUCUAACUGUCAUUUCCUUGUUCUUUUAGUUAACCACAACCUUUAAGGACAGUUAUAUCGGUCGUGCCUCGACUCAUUCUCGUUAUAGUGUGAGAUAUAAGCGGUGUAAAUAAAAUCGCAUCUGCUUCAAUCUAGAUCGUUCAUUUGACCUUCAAUGAGGCGGUUACCAGUACCUCAUAGCGAUUUUUCGAGCAACUCUUCACAGGAGAGUACAAAACCCAAAUGGUUGCAACAUCAGGGGAACUCAUUACGUCAGUCAUGAAUACUCAGAUUACUUCUUGGUCCAUACUUACUGGUCACGAGGUCGUGAGAUUGGGAGCAUAUCAAUUUCCCUUGAAAAUAUCGUAACAUAUUGGCAACUUAUCAACGAAGCAGGAUGGUCUCUCGAAAUGAACGGAAUGUGAGAAAUCUUGAGCGGAAUUGCUAAUGUUCCAAUCAAUGAAAUACAAGGAAUUCGAUCUCCAGACCUUCAAAAUGGCGGAAACACUCAGUUCCAGAUAAUGAAGGACUAUGGCUUUCUGUACGAUUCUUCAUUGCCCACUGAAGAAUAUGCCUUCGUAAACAUGGAUCGCGCCCUUUGGCCAUACACGUUCGCCUAUUUGAGCAUUCAGGACUGCCAAAUCGACCCGUGUUUGAAUCCGUCCUACCCUGGAAUUUGGGAAUCCCCUAUCUUGAUGUUAGAAGACUCCAAAGAUAUAUUUGGAACUGGCCAAGGCGAACCUUGCUCGUUCUUCAGAGCUUGUCAAGGGUACGAAUAUUGAUAUCUGUUGUAGGUACACCUCAAAGUCUCCUCUUUCAACAGGUUUCACUCACAGAUAUCCCGAUCCUGAUCCAAUGCAUAUAUUUGCUAUGUAGAAGAAGAACUUUGAUAGAGUCUACAAUGGUAAUCGAGCACCAUUUGGUCUUCACGCUCAACAGCUUUCUUUGUAGAACCCCAAACGUGGAUGUUCGACGGAUAUGUCAUGUUCGUCCCUUGAGGAUGUUUGUGAUUGAUGGGUUAAAAUUCGUUCAGAUCCCUGUGACAUUAGAAGAAGCUGCCACCGUUGAACCUUUCACUUGUGACAGUUUUCCCAAGCUCUUUCAUUGUUUGGCUACGUCUUGCCGAUAUGCAGAGGACAGUCUUCUUGCUACUAUGCAUGGUAGUGGUAAGAAAUAUAUGACCGUGUGUCAUGAAUGUCCAAAGAAAUACCCAUCGUUAGGAAAUCCUCAAGGGCCGGAGGAUGAGGAAUAUAUGAAUUCGACAGACGUAUACCAAUAUGAAAUACAUGUUUGAUACACAUCGUUUAAAUGGAGAGCAUUACAAGAUCAACCAAGUUUA